ensembl:misc_RNA Y_RNA Y RNA
GUCUGGUCCUAAGGUAGUGAGUUAUCUCAAUUGACUGUUCACAGUCAGUUACAGACCAACCUCCUUGUUCUACUCUUUCCCUUCUUCCACUACUCCACUUGACUAGUCUAAA